rnacentral:lncRNA from 1 species
GGAACCACCUCAGAAGGUGAGCAGAACUUCACAGCAGAUCCUUACUAGAAGCCUGAAAGAAGGCUUUAUGUCUUAUAGAUUGGUAGUAGUUAGUAUGUAAAUAUAGUUGGGGCGAUUUACAGGAUGGCUGAAGUUCUGAGGCCACUGCUUGGGUUAGUAGCCCUUUUUGAUUUCAUUCGGGAUCCAGAAACCUUAGGCCUUCUCAUUUGAGGUCAUCUGCAGAACACUUGUGUUUCUGUUUGGUAGGUUUGCUGACUGAGAGACGUCAAGUGUCCCAAAUGCUCUAUCUGCUUGACUUUCUGCUUUUUAGAUACUACAAAAUUGUCUCUAAGUUUUUUGUUCGUUUAUUUGUUUUUUGUUUUUGCCUUUUUUAGGGCCGCUUCCUUGGCACAUGGAGGUUUCUAGGCUAGGGGUCUAAUCGGAGCUGUAGCUGCCGGCCUACCCCACAGCCACAUCAGCAUGGGAUCCGAGCUGCAUCUAUGACCUACACUACAGCUCAUGGCAACGCUGGAUCCUUAACCCACUGAGCAAGGCCAGGAAUCAAACCUGCAACCUCAUCGUUCCUAGUUGGAUUCGUUAACCACUGAGCCACAACGGGAACUCCUGGAAGUUUGUUUUGAAAUUAGUUACAUGAACAACUUUACUUAUAUUACACAUUAACACUUCUUUAGUAAAGAAUAUGUAUAUUUUUAUUAUACUUUAUUAUAAUUAUUAAAUGCUCAUUGUUUUUCUUUUAAACCACUUCAAUGGAAAUGGAAAUAUGAAUACUUCUUUUAGCCCAAAAAGCUAAGGAAAGGAGAUGUAAUUCUUUUUUUCAUAUUUUGAACUUGACCAGCUCAAGGUUUAGUCCCACAUUUCUCUGACAUUUAUACUGUGCCUUCAAACCCAGGUCUUCCCUUUGCUCAUCACUGCUCUGGCCAGUAAUUGGAACUUGUCUUUUGGAUUUGCAUUGUGUAAAUAGGCUUUGACAGGGGGCAAAUUUAAACUGUUGUAAAGAUUGCCUAUUCAUUUCUAAAACUGUAUUUUGUGGUAGAAUUGAAUUGCUAAUUUUGUUGAGGGAGUUUUAAAAUGAGGGGAAAACAAAAAGAACUUAUGGAAUAGUUGCACAUUACAAAAAAUAGAAUAGGAAUAUGAACAUUGUGGGGUCUUUUUUCUGAACUAGUCAGUAGCUGUUUAUUCUAAUGAUAAUUAACAAAAAAGAUUCCCAGACAUAAAUGAAAAUGAGUUUUAGUAUGAUGUAGCUGAUUAUAUAUAGAGUGGAGAUGGAAAAUGUACUAUAAAUACAAAUGAUUUGGCUUCUGUGUUCCUUUAUUUAGUAAUUUGGGAAGAGUUAGGGAGCUCCAGAACUGGAUAAGCAAGUUGAUGGACUACAUGUUUUGUUAAAUCUCAGAAUGCCUUUUCUUGGUGUGGAUGCAUCUAAGAUGAAUGGUUAAUUUGUUCUUGGUUCUUUUCAAUGACUGUCGUUGAGCAAUGACAAAUUGAAAAGAUGUCCUAACUCUGAGACUGUUGGCAUCUACUCCAGCCUUCUUUCAGCCUUCCCAUUGUAUUUGGGAAGUAUGUGACUGAAUGUGGCCUGGGAGGAGGGUUAUUUUUUGUUUUCUAAAGUUAAUUCUGGGCUUGUGUUAUGUAGAAUUGCAGCUUUUUGAUGAAGAAAAAAAAAAAAA